CCAUGACAGAAUCUAAGAGUGAGAACAAGGAGCUAGAAACUGGAUCCUCUGUUCCCUCUUCAGAAUCUGCUGUUUCAGCUGAGUCAGGGAAAGCAGAGAUUAAAGUUGAAUCAUCUGUCUCUGCUUUAGAAUCUGCUGUUUCAGUUGAAUCUCCAAACACCAAACAUGAAUUGGGAUCCUCUGUUCCUGCUACAGAAUCUGGAAAAACAGAGCUUGAAGUUGCAUCCACUGUUUCCACUUCAGAAUCUGAAGUUUCAGUUGAGUCUGGGAAAACAAAGCCUGAUAUUGCAUCCUCAGUUCCCUCAGGAGAAUGUGCUGUUCCAGUGGAUUCUGCAAAAGCAGAGCAUGAAUUGGCUUCCUCGGAAACUUCCAUUUUAGCAGACACAACCGAUCAGACAGGGACUUCGCUCAAGAAAAAUGAUCAGAGUGUGCUGCAGUCUGAAGAUGUUCCCAAAGAAUUGCUUCCUACAUCUGUGGAAGAAGGCAAAAUUGACAGUGAAAUGUUAGAAGACGACAAUAAUGUUGAGUCUAAGUCACAAAUGGAGAUUGUCGCUUCAACUGUUAGCAGUGAGGAAACCGCAGUAGAGGCCAUGGAGACCCAGAGUCCAGAAGAAUCUACCAAAGGCACUGAUGUGAAAGAGGAAGUUUUGGAAACGCAUGAGCUCAAGAUAGAAAAUGAGGGCCAAGCCAGUGACUUGAGACCAACUGAACCUUUAGAGAUGGACAUCAAUCCUCAGUCUAAUAAUCAAACUGAACCUGCUGAAGAGCAUGUCCCUGUAGCUGUUGCCUCUGACUCUGUUCCACCCUUUGAUCCUGCCUCUGACCUACCCUCCACUUCUGAUCAAACUGUCAGUAAUUCAUCUGUCACAGUUACACGUGCCUCAAACAGUCCCCAAAUGGUGCAUGAGCCCUUCCAGAUUGAUGACAAUUCUCUGGACUUUCCUCCGGUUACACAGGAGAUUUUGAAGGCCCUUGAAUUAGCUGUCCAUCAGUGUCGCUUACAGUCUUCAUUAAAACGUGCUGAAGAAGAAGCCAG
ensembl:lncRNA